ACUCUGCUUCAGCUCACCCUCCAUGGGCUGCACUCACCUUCCAACCAGUCUCAAUGAGAUGAACCAGGUACCUCAGUUGGAAAUGCAGAAAUCACCCGUCUUCUGCGUCAAUCACGCUGAGAACUGCAGACCAGAGCUGUUCCUAUUUGGCCAUCUUGGAACCGGUCUGAGUCUGUUUUAGCCAGAUCAAGUACUUGCAGACACUUGAAGAAGCAUCUUUCUUGUGAUCUCCUGGCUGGUACCCUGAAGUCCUGUUAUGCCAAUGGACCAGCAACCCUCGCAGGAAUCGUUCUUCUGACCAAGCAAGUAGAUGAAUUGCUAUAUAUGGAGCCAGUUCAAAGCAAGGCACAACUCGCUGGUUUUAGAUACCAAAGAAGUCCUACAGUUCAAUUAUGACCUGGGGGAGGUCAGAGCUCGGCAGGUGAAUCUUGCUUCUGA
rnacentral:lncRNA from 10 species